rnacentral:piRNA from 1 species
CAACCGGCUAGUACUCAACUACAC